rnacentral:lncRNA from 1 species
UUAAAACUUGAAAUCCAUUUUUUUCUCAUAUAUGUAUAUCUUGAUGUCGAGAUGAUCAAUUUGAGGAUAUUUGAGCAUCAAAACAAACUACUCUAGUGAAAUUUUUGAGGUAGGCUCUAAUUUGAUUGUUUAGAGCAGGGCUCUAUAUAAACUUUUCCAGAGUGAGGUUUGUAUAGAGCCGGGGUUCUAAACAAUCGAUGUAGAGCACACCUUCAAAUAAUGUCGAUAAAUGUGGUUUCAAUAUUAGAAAUCUUUGCAAUAGCUUUAAAAUAUAUUUUCAUCUCUAAUUAUAAAAUUUAAAUCCUAAAAAAUAGUGUAGAUGGAGCAGAUAUAUGAAAACUUGAAAAUCUUGAAAAUUGAUGGUCUAAAAAUACAUUACAUGAUGCACUAUUUUCAAAACUUGAAAUCCGUUUUUUUCUCAUGCCC